CAACGCGAAGAACCUUACCUACUCUUGACAUCCAGAGAACUUAGCAGAGACUCGAAAGAGAAUCCGUGCACAGGUGCUGCAUGGCUGUCGUUGUGAAAUGUUGGGUUAAGUCCCGCAACGAGCGCAACCCGAGGAAGGUGGGGAUGACGUCAAGUCAUCAUGGCCCUUACACACACGUGCUACAAUGGCGCAUACAAAGAGAAGCGACCUAGCUAAUCCCACAAACCCAGCCCCAGUUCAGAUUGCACUCCUCCAUGAAGUCGGAAUCGCUAGUAAUCGUAGAUCAGAAUAUACGUUCCCGGGUCUUGUACACACCG
rnacentral:rRNA from 1 species